rnacentral:tRNA from 9 species
GGGGCCGUGGCGCAGUUGGGAGCGCGCUUGAAUCGCACUCAAGAGGUCGGGGGUUCGAGUCCCCUCGGCUCCACCA